CCCUUGUACACACCGCCCGUCAAGCCAUGAGAGUCGGGAGGACCUGAAGCCAGUUGCUGUGAGGCGCUGUUUAGGGUUAAACCGAUGAUUAGGGCU
rnacentral:rRNA from 1 species